GAUGAAGAACGCAGCGAAAUGCGAUACGUAAUGUGAAUUGCAGAAUUCAGUGAAUCAUCGAGUCUUUGAACGCACAUUGCGCCCCCUGGUAUUCCGGGGGGCAUGCCUGUCCGAGCGUCAUAGCUGCCCUCAAGCACGGCUUGUGUGUUGGGCCUCCGUCCUCCUCCCGGGGGACGGGCCCGAAAGGCAGCGGCGGCACCGCGUCCGGUCCUCGAGCGUAUGGGGCUUCGUCACCCGCUCUUGUAGGCCCGGCCGGCGCUUGCCGACACAUCAAUCUUUUUUCCAGGUUGACCUCGGAUCAGGUAGGGAUACCCGCUGAACUUAAGCAUAUCAAUAAGCGGAGGA
rnacentral:misc_RNA from 1 species